GCGGGAGUGGCGAAAUAGGCAUACGCACAAGACUUAAAAUCUUGUAUCCGCAAGGGUGUGCGGGUUCGAUCCCCGCCUCCCGCACCA
rnacentral:tRNA from 1 species